UCCCUGGUGGUUCAAUAGUUAGGACUCCACACUUUCACUGCUGAAGGCACAGGUUCAACUCCUGGUCAGGGAA
rfam:Ovis aries breed Texel chromosome 5, whole genome shotgun sequence.